UUAGAGCUUGAAUUGAUCAUAAUCCUAGUUAUGCUUGUCAUAAUAUUUAGACAACAAGAUUCUUGUUGAUACAUGGUAGCAAAUGUUGCAUCAGAAGUGGUACUGAUAAUUUUGUAAUGUACCCUCUUUAAAUUUGUGUGGAGCGAUAGAUUUGUGUAGAUGUGUGAUAAAAAGGAAGAGUAUACACUCAAAAGUGUCCAUUGUUUUUGCAUGUCUAACAUCUUGAAAGGUAAUAAUAUCAUAAUGGUGGGCGAUUUGAAUGUUCUUCCGAAAGAAAUUAUGAGUUCUUCCAAACCUUAAAAACUUUCGUUGGCGUCAGAACCCACGUGUUCUAGUGUGAAGACAUACCUUAUCCCUCUAACUUAUUGUGAAUUUCCCCUUUUCCCCAAGGGUUUAUGGCGGCGCUAAUUUAUCCCCUUUCGAACUCAAUCUCAAACUUAUCGACCUUUUCUAGUUUACCCUAGCUAUUCCAUAUUGUUCUCCCGGUGCUGCUCUGUUUUUUCAUGUCAAUUGUACUAUAGUUUGAGGUUUAGCCAUGGACCAUUGGAAGGAGAUCCUGUAAACCAAAUAAGAAGAAGUGGUUGUCGUAGCUGGAGAAGAGGAAGAGACUGGAGUGGAGGUGUUCAUUCACACCUUGGUGGGGAAGCUUUGAACCAAUAAUCCCCUCAAUAUUAGAUCCUUCAAGUGUACCAUUGUUCAAGCUUGGCGACUGAAACGCCCCGUUGAAGUACAAGAAAUAGGUUGCUAUUGACCUUUGGCAGUUGAAAAAAGCACGCUGGUUAAAUAUCACGACAAGAACUUGAAAGUUUGCUUCAGGUACAAAAGACUCUUAACUUUUUGUUUUGUGUGUGGUAGAAUAGGUCAACAAUUAACAAAUUGUGAUGAACUUGGUGAGAAAGGGGAAGGGGGCUUUGAGGAGGUUGAGGAACAUGACUUAUCCUUUGGCCUUUGGUUGAUGGCCUAUUUUUUACCAAAGUUCUACAAAGAUGGAGAAAAAAAAACAACUCUGGUUGUAGUAGAAAUUUUUUUUAGGCCUCCACUAGUUAGAGUAGGUAUGACAAUGCUGGGAAAACAUCGAAAAUUGAAACUAAGUUCAACAAAAAGAAAGACAAGACAAUUUCACCAAAGCAAAUAGAUGAAGGGCUAGUGGUGAUCCAGGUGAACAAUAAAGAGGUGGAAAGUGUGGUGGAAUCCUUAGGAGCGAUUGUCCUCUCCAAUGAUUUAAAUAUGGGAAAAUCAAAUUCUAGUGGGGGAAAAAGAAAAUACGAACUGGGCAACAAAAGCCUAAGAAGCUGAAACCUUAACAAAACAAAUAACUAGAAUUAGAGCUUGGAAAAAGGUGUUUGAUUGAAGUCUUAGUCUUAGAGGAAAUUCCAGAUGACUUGUUUACUAGCAAGAAAAAGAGGGAAAAAAUAUAGAUGCUAGACUCAAGUCCAUAGAAGUAAGGGGUGGUGUUGGUCUAACUCAGUGAAAAUUAUUAAUUGGAACUAUAAGGGGUUGGGGAACCCUUGGGAAGUUCGGGCCUUGUUAAGGCUCACUAGAAUAGAAAAUUCCCACCUAGUUUUCUUGAUGGGAACUAUGUUGAAGGAAUAGGAGAUGGAAAGGAUUCGUGUUUGAUGUGGUUUCAAUUCGGGAAUGUAUGUCCCUUGUAAUGGUUUGGGGAAAGAAAGAUCGGUUGACCUUGCUUUGUUAUGGAAUGACUCUAUCAAUACCUCUAUUAUUUCCUACAACCUAAACCAUAUUUUUGAAAAGUGGCAGAUGAGGUAAAUGGGGAGGUUUGACAUUUAGGCGAGGUAUACGACUUCUCCAAGGAAAGAUAUAAGAAGAAUACAUGGGAACUAAAUAGAGAGAUUUCAUGAGGUGGUAGAAGGCUAAUGGUUGUGUGUUGGGGAUUUAAAUGAAACCCUUAAUGCAAAUAACAAAGGUGGUAACAAGAUAAGUUAUAAAUAAUUGAAACUGGGUAGAAGGUUUAUAGAGGAUUGCAGACUUUCUUGGCUUUAUGGGCCACCUUUAAACUAUGUCAAAUAGACUGGAGGAGAAGAGAACAUUAAGUGUCUUCUUGACAAGGCUCUAGCUACAGAAUAGUUCAUUCACUAGUUUAAUCCAAUCCAAGUUACUCACUAACCUAGAUAUGGUUUACACCUCUAGACUCUCCUUGUAGAAUUGGAAUCAGUGAACCAUACUCUCCAAAGCAAAAGAGUGUACUUGUUCUAUUUUCAAAAAUGUUAUACCUGUAAUGAAAUAUGUGAAGAAACGGUCAAGAAAACAUGGAGGAUGGGUCAAUUCAAAUUUUUAGGCCAAAUUUCAGACCUACAAAGUCUGAACUCUGAAUUUAAAACAUAUAUAGAACAUUGACCACGAAUAAAAGAAUAAGGACAAUGGUUAGAUGAUCCCAAUUCUUUGGCAACUUACAACCAACUAUAUAAAAGGCAUGCAAGUCUCCUAUAUAUGGACUAAACUAUGUUGAAACAACGCAAACAUGCUACCUGGAUUUGAGAAAAGGAUAUGAACACAAUUUUUUCAAUGCAAAGCAAAUAAAAUGGGAAAUGUUAAUGCGAUUAAGAAACGCAAGGAUGAGGAAGGAAAUUGGUGACACCGAGAAGACCAAAUUGAGAGGAUUUUCUUGAAUUAUUUGUAAGAAUUGUUUUCUACAUCCAACCUGGAAAGAAAGGUAUUAUGGCAGUGAAACUUGACAUGGAAAAGGCUAAUGGCCGCAUUGAAUGACCUUAUGUGCAAGCUAUGUUGAAUUCUAUAAGUUCCCGACAUCGUUAGCGCAAACGAUUAUGGCUUGUAUCUCUUCAAUAUCACACCAUAUCUUGAUAAAUGGACAACCCAAGAGAAGUUUCUCAAUUGACAUAGGUUUGACAUAAGGGGAUUCCCUACCCCUUUACUUAUUUAUCUUGUAUGCAAAUGUUAUCUCUAGUUUGAUAAAUAAGGAAAUCCAAAUGAAUAAUAUAUGUUGUAUCUAAGUAGCUAGAUCAAUUCCAAAGAUCACCCACAUCUUUUUGGUGAAAGAUAGUAUUCUUUUUGCAUGAGCCAACACAAAUGAAGUCGUCACCAUCACGAGAACUCUAGAUUCCUACCAAUCCGCAUCAGGUUAACUUGUUGGCUUGGAUAAGUCUGAAGAAUCAUAUAGUCAAAAUGUGCCUAAUUGUAAAUAAGUUAUGAUUUAUCAGCAGAUAGAUAUCAAGAUUGUGACGUCUCACUCCAGAUAUCUAGGCCUCUCUAUUGUUUUAGGGACAUAAAAAAAAGAUGGCUUCUCAUUUGUUCAAGAAUAGGUGUGGAAGAAGGUAAAGAGGUGGAAAAAGAAAUUUCAAUCUCGAGCGGGAAAAUUAACACUUAUCAAAUCAGUUACUCAGGUGAUUCCAAACUAUGACAUUAGUUGCUACAAGCUACCAAAGAGUUGUUGCAAUGCUUUUGAGAAUAUGAUGGCAAAGUUUUGGUGGGGUUCAUAUGAUGCUUCUAGAUAGGUGCACUAGCUUAGAUAGAAGAGGAUAGGGUGUCCAAGGACAAGGGGUAUGGUGUUUUAUGCCAUUAGUGACUUCAACAAAGCUUAACUAGGAAAGCAAUAUUGGAGGCUAAUUCAAGAUAACAACUCAGUAUUGGAAAGAAUCUUCAAAAACCCAUAAUAUGUUAUAGUUAAGUGAUAGUUCUUCAUCAUGUGCAUAUUUUUCAUUGUUUUAAGUGUUAUUUAUUUUUAAUCAUUAUUUUAUUUAAGGAUGUAUUUGAUAUAGUUUGUCGAUUUUAGUUCUUGAAUUUAAUCAAAUGUUUAUGUUCUUAUUUCCUUGAAUAAGUAUAGAUUUUCGUAGUUUUGCGUUGUUUCUGCUGUUUCAGUGUAGUACUGAAUUUUUGUGAGAAAUCAACAUGACCUAUGUGUAUUAUUUCACACAUAUUUAGAGAUGUAAUUGUCCAAUUGGAGUUAAGUCAAGUGAAAAUGAAAUUAAAGAUCCAUAGCUACCACUUUCAUAAAAACACUAGAACCAAAUUCGAACUCAAAAUAGAAGAAUAAUGCAGUAAAAGUCAGACAACAAAUUAUGUGCGUUGGAGCACAAAUGCUUGUACCUAGGGUGCAAUUCUACAAUAUUUUGACAUUUUUUUUCUGUCCAAGAGUGUUGGAGCGCCCCAUGCACGUUCUGGGGUGCAUGACACGCUGCAGAAUGCAUAAAGUGUGUUUUCUCACUUUCUAUGUAUCUUUUUGACUAUUUUGAAGUUUGUAGGUUUGUGCCAUAGUAGAGAAACUCAAAAGAGGCUGGUUCUAACACCAUUGAUGGAUUUUUAUGAAGAAUCAUUCAUAAGUCUUUCUUGUAAUUCUUCUUUAGUCUCUAUCUUUUGUAUCUUUGUCAUGAGUAACUAACCCUAUUUGUUAGGGAUUAGUGAAACAAGAUGAAACAUUUAUUUGUAUGAUUUGAUAUAUAGUUAUAUGAAUGAGUUUAUUGAAUUAA